UGGGUUUUGAGGGCAGCCUGCAGGAUCAAGGGUUCUUGGCUCUUCUGCCUCCCUUGUCAACUUUGUGUCUAACUCCUCCAUACUGAUAUCCUCUCUCACCAGACACAUAUGGCUCCUGCUGAAUUUUUACUAAAAUUCGACCUAUUAAAAUUCUCCAAUAGAACAUGAAACUCCAUCCUGUUCAGCCCAUUCAGGUUCCCAGGAAGCAGAUAAAAAUGGCGAAUAGGGGAGAUGAUGCCAAGGCCACUUUAAGUCUCCACAUGCCUCAGGCUGAUGUCUCCUUUCAACAUGUGCAGGGCAGCAUCUGCCUCCAUCCCCGGUAUCCUGAGCACAGAAAUGGUGGCUCAAGGGCUGAAGAGCUGACCAUGGCUGGUGACAGCUUCACAUAGCUGCUGCCUAGAGGAAGGCUAGGGGGAGACUGUGGACACCAUUUCAGCUGUGUCUAAGUGAGCUCCAGGGUCAUGGACAGAGAGGGGAGAGCUAGGUGGCCAAUCUUGUGUUUGCUAGCUCUGUGUUUCCUCUCACCAUCAGCCUAUGCACUGCCUUUUCUUGUCCUGGGGAUAAUCACACACACACACACACACACACACACACACACACAAGUAGUUGAAGUGUGUGUGUGUGUGUGUGUGUGUGUGGGAGAGAGAGAGAGAGAGAGAGAGAGAGAGAGGGAGAGAGAGAGAGAGAGAGAGAGAGAGAGAGAGAGGUAGCAGAUGUGUUGUAUGUGUGCUUGUGGUGGUUUGAAUAAAAAUGUCCCCCAAAGGUCCACAGGGAGUGGCGCUAUUAGAGGUAUGACCUUGGAGUAGGUGUGACUUUGUUGGAGGAGGUAUGUGACUAUGUGAGGGGUGGGCUCAAGUCGAUUCUCUUCCUGCUGCCU
rnacentral:lncRNA from 1 species